rnacentral:lncRNA from 1 species
AAGUAAGUAUCCCCACUUUCAGGGUAGCAUCCUCUUUCCCUAGUUAUUUCAGUGCAGAAUCGAUUCACGUGUAAGCCUCUACCUCCUGCACUUACCCCAAUGUAGACCCCCUUCCACAGUCCCCCUACAGAAGAUCUCCCAAAACAUUUCCAACACAGAACUUCCAUUCAAUUCCCCUCCGACUGCCCGCCUCCCUCCUCCAGGACAGAGCACGCCCCAGGUUUCGAGACUGAACUACCCCCAUCUACGGAGUCCACCCCUCCCUCUCUAGAACCCCCUCAGUGUAGACGCCUCCUCUUUUCCUCUUUCCUCCCUACUUUUUCUAGUUUUUCUGCAGCCGACCUCCAGCGUCGGCCACUGUAGCUCCUUCCUUGCUCCACUUUCCCCAGAGUACACAGCCUGCCUUUCCACUCUCCGUGCAGACCCAUCCUCUUUCCCGCUCCUCGCUCUCGGACGCCACCAACGCUCUCCCGGGCUCUUCCGCGUUACCUACGAUGGAAGGUCGGGGCGUGCGGGCAGCUGGAACCCACCCCUGUCUUGGAGCUCCGGGUAGCUCUCAAACUCGAGGCUGCGCACCCCCUUUCCCGUCAGCUGAGCUCUAGAGCGCUGGGGCUUUCUUUUUGAUCGACUUCUUGAAAUAAAACCAACUUUAUCAUUCUUUGGGUAACAGACCCAAAAGCCGAUGGGACGGCCCGCUGGGCUGUUCCCGCCCCUAUGCCCUUUUUUGGGUUUCCGGCCAGAGGCAUGCUGGGAGCGUCACAUGCAAAUUGAGCGUGCACCCAGCGUUCCGCCCUUUCUACGCUGGGCCGGUUAUCGACCCGGCCCAGUGCGCAGGCGCGGGAAAGUUGAACUAAUAAAGUUUGUACGAGUUCAGUGGAGGAGACCGCAAGUUGAGUGGAGGAGGCGGCGGUGGGGCCCCGGACCAGGUGCCUCCAUGGCAGGCUCUGAAGAGCUGGGGCUCCGGGAAGACACGCUGAGGGUCCUAGCUGCCUUCCUUAGGCGUGGUGAGGCUGCCGGGUCUCCUGUUCCAACUCCACCUAGGCCCAGCUACUCCAGACUUCUAUGCUUUGGUGGCCCAGCGGCUGGAACAGCUGGUCCAAGAGCAGCUGAAAUCUCCGCCCAGCCCAGAAUUACAGGGUCCCCCAUCGACAGAGAAGGAAGCCAUACUGCGGAGGCUGGUGGCCCUGCUGGAGGAGGAGGCAGAAGUCAUUAACCAGAAGGUGAUGGGCAUCUGUCCCACUCCUUGGCAAGGACAGGAGUUGCGGAAUGGAGGGCAUCCUGGCUGUUUCACCCGUGGACUUGAACUUGCCAUUGGACUGAGCUCUUUCUCAGAAGCUGCUACAAGAUGACACCUCAUGUCCCUGCCCUCUUCGUGUGCUUUUCCAAGUCUUCCUAUUCCACUCAGGGCUGUGGGGUGGUGGUUGCCCUACCUGUUUUUGCCAAAAAUAAAUUGUUUAAAACUUUUCUUAUUAAAAACGUUACAAAGUA